rnacentral:rRNA from 1 species
UACGUAGGUGGCAAGCGUUGUCCGGAUUUACUGGGCGUAAAGAGCGCGCAGGCGGCUGGGCAAGUCCGAUGUGAAAGCUUCCGGCUUAACUGGAAAAUUGCAUCGGAAACUGCUCGGCUUGAAGGUGGGAGAGGGUAGCGGAAUUCCCGGUGUAGUGGUGAAAUGCGCAGAUAUUGGGAAGAACACCAGUGGCGAAGGCGGUUCUCUGGGACGGUACUGACGCUGAGACGCGAAAGCGUGGGGAGCGAACAGG